UAAUAAAGAUGUGUGCACAAGAGGCUAUGGGAGCAGAAAAGGGCCCAGAUGGCUUGAGUGAGACUGAGAAGGGCUGAGGAGUGCCCUAGUGUCAGCCAUUUCUCCAAGGAGCCCUAGUUCUUUUUAAUGGAGACUGGUGUUUGGAAGCCAAGAUAUGGACUCAGAUGUGCAUUCAUUGUUAUUGGGGCAUCUCUGCUCACAAGCCUUCUCGAUGAAAAAGCUAAGAAACACAUGCAGCCAGGUUGCAUGGCACUGUACUGACAGAUAAGAAGUGUCGAAGACCAGAGUCGUAUUGCU